rnacentral:rRNA from 1 species
UGGGGAAUAUUGCACAAUGGGCGCAAGCCUGAUGCAGCCAUGCCGCGUGUAUGAAGAAGGCCUUCGGGUUGUAAAGUACUUUCAGCGGGGAGGAAGGUGUUGAGGUUAAUAACCUCAGCAAUUGACGUUACCCGCAGAAGAAGCACCGGCUAACUCCGUGCCAGCAGCCGCGGUAAUACGGAGGGUGAAAGCGUUAAUAGGAAUUACUGGGCGUAAAGCGCACGCAGGCGGUCUGUCAAGUCGGAUGUGAAAUCCCCGGGCUCAACCUGGGAACUGCAUUCGAAACUGGCAGGCUAGAGUCUUGUAGAGGGGGGUAGAAUUCCAGGUGUAGCGGUGAAAUGCGUAGAGAUCUGGAGGAAUACCGGUGGCGAAGGCGGCCCCCUGGACAAAGACUGACGCUCAGGUGCGAAAGCGUGGGGAGCAAACA